AAAAAAAAAGGAACAUACGGCUCAUUUUAAAGGCAUAAAGCUUACCUAUUCCAUUAGGUAACUUGGAGAGUAUACCUUCAGCCAUUGCUGCAAAGUCUCCACAAUUUUCUGAACAGGUAGCACAAUGUCAAGACGUCAGGAUAACCAGGCCAUGGCAUCUGCUAGCCCUGCUGACAGCCAAAGAUGACAAGUGAAAAAGCAUACACUCUCCCCAGUGAGGGAGGAGUAAUCUCCAGCCCUAAAGAUUCAGAGGAAGAAGUCCCCUAGCCCCACCCUGGAACCUAGGUCUCUCGCUAGAAUACUACCUGCAUCUUUUCCCCAUUGUGUCGCAAAGGCUCAGCAUAUGGUGUUUUGGGUUCAGAUUAACAUUUAAAUUGGCAGACUGAGUACAACGGAUUGCCCUCCAUAAUGUGGAUGAGCCUCAUCUAAUCAGGUGAAGGCACGCAUAGAACAAAAGGUUGAUUCUUCUACAAAAAGGAGAGACUUCUCCUGCUUGAGAGCCUUCAGAGUGGAACCUCUGUUCUUCCUGGUUCUACAGCAGGCUGCCAUUCUUCAGACUCCAACUGGGACACAGACUGCAGAUUUUGGACGUGCCAGCCUCCUUUUGUUUUUCAGAUCCAGAGACAACAGAACCUAUACUGAACCUAAACCUUCAAAACAGAGAAAAACAAAGAUGUGGGGAAGAUGUCAGAUUGACCUUUCUUUUUUGUUAACCUCUUCCCCUGGAGAGUCCUUCUCAGGAGACCUAAGAAAGAGAAAAGCAACCCCCUAAAGCAGGCAACUGGUCUGGCACUGUCAGCCAGGUCUCGGUCUCCUCCUGGCGCACACAAAAAUUUCACGGCACGUCCACAUCAAGCAAGGCCACUCUGUGAGCGUGAUGGAUCAAGACAAAAAAUAGGACCACUCUACAAUCAUGUCUGAACACAGACGAAACAUGAACGUUGUCCAAACCACAACAAUGACCAAGCAUUCCCCACCUAUCUAAAUUAGCUUUAAGACACUCAAUUGUAGAAUUACUAACUCUACUUCCUGACAGCAUCCAAUUUAGAGUGAAGCCCCCCCUUCUUCAGCCCUCUUUAAAAUCACCUAACACAAGCCCAGUCCUUUCUAGUAAGUCUUUUCUAACCUUUCUGACAGCUUCUUAGUGAGAC